UAGGGAAUCUUCCGCAAUGGGCGAAAGCCUGACGGAGCAACGCCGCGUGAGUGAUGAAGGUCUUCGGAUCGUAAAACUCUGUUAUUAGGGAAGAACAAAUGUGUAAGUAACUAUGCACGCCUUGACGGUACCUAAUCAGAAAGCCACGGCUAACUACGUGCCAGCAGCCGCGGUAAUACGUAGGUGGCAAGCGUUAUCCGGAAUUAUUGGGCGUAAAGCGCGCGUAGGCGGUUUUUUAAGUCUGAUGUGAAAGCCCACGGCUCAACCGUGGAGGGUCAUUGGAAACUGGAAAACUUGAGUGCAGAAGAGGAAAGUGGAAUUCCAUGUGUAGCGGUGAAAUGCGCAGAGAUAUGGAGGAACACCAGUGGCGAAGGCGACUUUCUGGUCUGUAACUGACGCUGAUGUGCGAAAGCGUGGGGAUCAAACAGG
rnacentral:rRNA from 1 species